CAUAGCCUCUCAAGAAAGUCCUCUGUUGCUCCAUCUGUCCCCCCCUCAGCCGCUGACAGAGACGCUCUAAUCACCUCGCGUUGCGAGGCUCACAUGGGAGACGGCUACACCAGCCACAAUGCUGCCUCAGAUAUAGAGCCGCUUACUGGAUGCCAAUACCUCACAGGGGAAACAGUCUGAGAAUUGCCCAGGAGUGCUUCAGAGUCAUAAAUCUGCCGAGUCUGACCCCGAUCCAAGGUUUCAUACAACACAUCAACGGAACGACCAAGCUUCUCAGCAAAAUGAAUAGAAAACUGUAAGCGCUCAGAUCGAGUUUGACUUCUCUUCCUGGCACAUACGAAGAGGACAGCGAAGAGGUACAAGCGAACACAGUGAACCCAGCUACCUUCCGCUGCCAGAACAUAUUGCUCAUCCUACAGCACUCUUCUUCAGAGUCUGCUCAGCAGCAGCCUUGUGAUGCCUUCGCCUCCACAAUGUGACUGACGAACGUUGCGAGGGAGCUGCAGAUUCCCGUAAGGAGUCGAGUCGUGGAAUCCUGCCCCGCUUUAAGUCACGUUUAAUGCCCUAUUACGCAGAUAGUUUUUAUUUCAACGCUGCAAAUUAGCGCUGAAUACCCUAAAGUAGUUUGGUGUCAUUACUGACACAGAUUUUUUUUUUCAUAGCAAUACAUCAUUUUCCCUUUUUUUUUUCCACGUCUUCCUUCAUUGAAAAUACAUCUCAGAGUGACUAAUGCGUUUUCUAUUCAUCGUUUUAAUGAUGCAUUACAAAUGUUCCCUUCAAUCAUGGAAAGUUGAGCCAUAUUUUCUUUGCUGUAGUUUGGAAUUGCUUUGUGCUUUUUUUUGUUGUUUUUCCCAGGAUUGUUCAGUAAACAUUGCAGCAGUCGGUGCAGCAAGUCCCAGUUCAUCCUGAGGAGAACACUGCCCUCUGGUGUGUGAUUGGUGGUAAUGCAGCCAUGCUCCACUUUUUUUCCCCCUCUUCUGAAAGCCCAGGAUGAGUCAGAUUGAGUCUCACUGGUCAAACAAACCGUUUGACACACGUUGGACUAAGGCUGCAACUAACAAUCGUUGUGAUCGAUUAUUCUGCUGAUUUUUCUGAUGAUUAAUCAGUU